ensembl:lncRNA
GGUGGAGAUUCCUGCACACCUGAAGCCUUCUGAAGUGUUACACCAUCAUUACGCAAAGGGAGCCUCAGGAACAAGGGGAGGAACAUGCUGGUGUCUGGACAGCCCUGUGAGGUAGGGAGCAGCACCCCAGGAGCCCUGCAAGGACCAGAAAUGUCAUUCCCUUCAGUCUCUGUCUACAGGCAAACCAAGCACAGCAGCUAAGAUGCUUUUUAGUGAGCUGAAUUACCACAUUUGCAGGCAGCUUUAAGCUUCUGUCUUCUUUAUAGCAUGGAUUUGGAUCCCAGACAUCCUACAGUGCUCAGCUCCUGCUGGUGCAAAUGGAGCCAGCUACUCCUGCCCAGCUCCAUCAGCAGUGGCCUCGGGACAGUUCAUCUCAAAGCAGCCUGUCCCCAUGACCUGUGUGACCACUGCAGUCCCUCCAAGCAAGACAGGGGAAAACACAACGUGCCAGAGGUUGGUGGGGUGCUCAUCCAAGCAGAAGUGGCUCCAGCACCAUGCUCUGCUCUGACCUUCCCAGGCUCAGAUGUUCUCUGUGGCCAUCAGCCCACCUGAGAUAACCUUUACCUACUGUGCAACGUGGGGGUGUUGGAUGAGUGCCCAGGAUGUGCUCACCCAACAGACACUGCUCCCGGAACUUGUCUGCACAAGGAGAUACACCAAUUCAUCUCAUCUAAUUCUGGAAGGGGUUUGGGUUGGACAGCUGUCAGCUCUUCCCUGCUGUCACACAGUGGAUCCAAGGCCCUCUUGUUAGAAGGGAAACUUGCUGCUGUGUUUCACCUUGCUAAUAUCCACAUCAGGGCCUUUGCCAAGCCUGAGAGAUAAAAGAAGAUGAGGAUCAAAUCUUCUGGAGGCACGGAGGAAUGUAGUUCCUGAAUCCCAAGAACUGAAUAGCAUUGUGGAUUGGCUCUUCCCAUUCCCUGUGCCCCAUCUGAAGCAUAUGGUCAUUCUCCAGCUCAGUAUGCUCUGGGGAACCUGAGAUAAGACAAGAAGGCUUCUGGGUCAACCUUGGUCUUGUGGAGGGGAACAGAUGGGUUUUCUGGUGGGACUGCCAUCCUGAAAAGCAAUUACACAUGAAGCCAUCCCCAACAGACUGCGAUGUGCUCUGGCCCAGGGCCCAAGUCAUCGUGGGUUUGGAUUUUAAUUAGGGCCGUUUUGGGUAUCUGUUCUCUACUUCCCUCCAGAUAAUGAUUUAAUUAUUACAGACAUGUCUUCAAAUUAGCAGCUUCCUCAGUGGAUUAUUCAGCUGGGAUCUCCUCAGUUACAGUGCCCAUCUCACUGCCAUUAAAAGAAGAGGCAGGAAAACAUGAAGGCAAACUGAAACUUCCUGGAAAGAGAACCCACGCAGGCACCCACCUGCAGAGCAGGGGCCACUGUCAGGCUCUUCUCCUCCCUUUAUCUCACAGUGGAUUAAAAAGCCUAGCUCCAAAACACAUGCUGAGUGCCUGCAUGAUGCAAGACCAUGGAUGGCAUAACAGCUGCUUGAGUCCACCUGUCACUGAGCAUUGUUAUCAGCAGACCACAAGCAGGUGGGGAGUCCAAGGGUGAGAAGGAGAGAGUGACAGACUGGAAGGUAGGACCACAAACCACUUCUUUCUAGUGGGAUGGCAUGUGUGGUGAUCUCCAAGGAGAAAGCAGCUAGGGAGACAUGGUGAGGACCCCAUUUAUUGCUCAUGUUGGAGCCUCCCAGCCAGCUCCGUGUUGGGAAUUACUACAGGGGCAAGGGGAAGGCAGGUGAUGGUGGGAGCAAGCAGAAGAUAAGGUGUAAGUCCUGACAGCAAGCCAGACCUACUCCUUGGGCAGUAGAGCCAGGCAGGGACUGUGCCAGGCUCCACCAAGGCUCCAGGCCUCAGGGAUGAAGGCUGGAAGAGAACAGCAGCACUGGUUGCAAAAAAGAAAUACCAGACACAGGCAGAAUGAAGGACACAGCACAGUGAUGGUGAAACCUUCAGAGUGUAGCUUGACAACAUGCCUUGGUGCCAAUGAGCAGUAACUCAUCCACAGAACAGCCAAGUUCUGACUAAAUCACCAGGAGAUGAGCUGCUUCCCUGCUGCAAGAGCUGAGCACGUUCAUGCUGUGGGGCUGCAGCAAGAUCCUUAGGGCCUGACAUCACCCCUCUCCCCAUGGCAGGCCAAGGAAGAGGAGGAUGUGCACGUGUGGCUCUCCAUCCCUUGCACAAAGCUCCAGCCACGCACUGAGACUCUCUUUGGUCCUUUUCUACCACAGCGUGUGAGCUUCUGACUGCAGGAGCUGCAGGAUUUCCCUUGCUGGCAGUGCUGGGACUCCCAUGCUACAGGCAGGGAAGUGGAUUUUGCAGCAGUUGCUGGAGCAGCACUGCUGCCUCUCCCUGCUGCAAUGGGAGCUGGGGCCACUGUGGGAAGUCUCUGCUGGCUCCUCUGUCACUGCAGCUCACAGCACAGCAGCUUAAAGCAGCUGCAGCUCUUGCUGCUGCAAGAGGAGUCCUCGAGCACAGCCAUGCGUGAGUCUGCAUCUGGAAACACAGCCUGGGUGUCUCAAAACGAGCCUAAUGCCCUAUUUGUGAGGCUACAGCAGCUCUCCUCCCCUGGUUCCCUGCCUGAGCACACAAAGCAGCUGGGCAGUAAAGCAGCUGGGUGAUGCAGCCUGUUUCCCAGCUAACAGGGCUGGGGACACAAAGGCCAGGUAUUGCCUGUCUGUCCACCUCUCCUGUGGUCACAGGCCUGGGAGAGUUCUGAGCUCUCUAUCCCAUUGGAUUUGCUAUGAGACCAUCAUGCCUGACAGCAAUGGGGUGAGGGAAAAGGCUGCGCCAACACAAGCCAUUUCAUUUCCUUGAGAAACUGGGCUAAAGAAGAUGGGAGUGGAAGUGACACAAAAGAGAGGAUAUUCAUUAACCCGAUAAAACCUCCUGGAAUAUGAUAACAGCAGCAAUAACAGACACCUCCCCUCUGGCUGAGGACAAAGAAAGGCUUCCUAGUUAUGAAGAACAGGAAGAAAAUUGGAGUGGAAGAAAGGAAAUGAUGUCUGAAAUGUCAGAUGUUAUUAAAAAGCCUUUAUCGAGGGAGAAACGAUGAGCGAUGAGAGUGGGGAUACGAUGGGAAGCUGAACAGCUGGAGAGUGAGUGGGAUGGAGAGGAAGCAUCCAAGCAGGGCUCUGUUGGCCCCUGGCAGCCACACAGUGCCUGUGGCAGAGGGCCAACUCCUGGAGGCACACACGGGGCUGUGCAGUGAGGAGGGGAGGGCAGCAGCCAUGGGGAGCCCCAUGCGGAUCGAUGAGCCCCACAAAGCUGCUGUGAAUGUCUCUGUGCUUUGAGGCAUCCUGUGCAGCAUCACCAGCCCUGCUCCCUGCCACCCGUGGGCCUCACCACUGCCAUAACGUGAUGUCCCUGCUCUGCACGUGGAUGCUACAUUGCUUUCUCAGGGCACCAUCAGCACAGCCAGGAACUGACAACCUACCAAAAUCAUGAGCUGAGAAGCAAAUCAAGCAGCCCCUCCAGCUUCCCCAUGAGCAGUGGGACCAAGCCCCAGGUGCUGUCCUACCACCCCAGGAGCUGAGCUGCAGCACACACAGCCAGGCAGAGCCCCAGCUGGUGCCCACACCAGGUGAGCGUGGCCUCAUGUGGCCCCGGCUUUCCAGGCUGAUGGCCAAAGAGAGGAGAAUGUGGGCUGGAUCUGUGUCACGCAGCAUUGCGGGCUCUCCGGCUCCCGCAGCAGAGUGAAGGCAGCUCCAGCCCAGGAGGCUCAGCCAGAGCUGCUCUGCUCUGGUUCUCCCAGCACAGACACAAAGUCCCUCUCCUGCUCACACUGCUGAGAUGAGCCGGCCCUCCCCAGCCUCUUUGGCGUCUUGCAGGCAGCGAAGCGAGGAGAUCUGCAGGCAGGAGUGGCUCAGACUCCCCACUGCAGCCUCCCUGCUUGGCAUUGCUCUCUGCUGCUUCCCUGCGAGCUGUGUUUGUGGGUAACACCCCCAGGGGGAGACCCUGACAUGCACAAAGCCAGCUCCCAACCAGCGAGCACUGGAAGCAGGCACACGCAUGCAGAGCCUCUCCUCAACUCUGCUUUAAUAUGCAUGCAAUAUGGCCAGAGCUGCUCUGCAUCUGACAGUAUUCACUUUUCAGAAGAGAAGCAGCAGCAGCCAGCAAACAGCACGCAUCUCCCUGCCAGAGCAAGGUCGGGGCAGGCGGGGUGCUGGGAGCUGCGGCUGCACAUGGGAUGGACUCUUUUGAACUCAGACAUCAUCUUCAGAGCACGAUAUGGAGACAGCAAAGCUGUCACAGUGGCUGCUGUCAUUUCAGCAUCCUCUCAGAGCUGCCAGUCUGCACCAGCUGCAGCCUGCCCUGGGUACCAGCGUUACCAGCACUCAUCCCGUGCCCACGAGCCCUCCCAGAUGCACCACGUGUGGCACCGUGUGUGCCUGGAAGCUCCUUCUUCCAGAGGAUCAGCCUCAACCCAAGCUGGUGGUGAGUGGGGCAGAGGCAGACUGCAGAUCACCGGAGCACGACCUGCAGCACCUCAUGCUUUGGGGAGGAGGGGCUCAGGCAAACCCCCACGUGUGCCAUAACUGCUGCUUGAUGGAGACAGAUUUCUCUUUCCUCCUCCCCAGAAUCACAACUUGGAUGAUAAUCCCUGGAUUGCUGCCAUCGCUUUGGGGCUGCCAUAUUAACAAAAAAAAAAAGGGUUCUCAUUUGAUCAUCUGCUUGCAGUUAAUUUAGUUACAAGAGUUUUGCAGUGAUCAUUUUUGAGAUGGCAAUCGGAGCAUCUCUGCGAGCAGAAAUGGCUAUCGUUCCCCAUCUCCUUGGUGUUUACAUGCAGAUAAAGACAUUUUGUCUCCUAAAAUGAAGCCAAAAUCAGCCCCAGCACUGCCGAUCGUUGCACGGCUCUUCACGAGUGCCGGUGUUGCUUUCAAAUCACACGUCGUCAAUAAAUCUAAUUCUAACUGCCCUGCAGCAAAUGGCACCAGUCUGCACUUUGAGAUCUCUCCCACACAUACUCCACUGCCUAAAAAUACCAGCGCUUUAAUUCUCAAAUGACUCGGCUAUUGCACAGCCACCUUCUUUUUCUUUAAUGUACACUGCUGCAUGGCUCGGUGCAGGACAUCUGUUACACUACAAAGGGUUUGGGGAAGCAGGGACCAGGAGGGGAAACUCAUCCCUGAUGUCUCACCUCUGCAUCAGCCAAAAUAUAACCUAAAACUCAACCCACUGCCAAAGAGAAGGCCAGUUGUCUCUGCUGCCCGGCCCAGGCACGCUGGCAGCACUCAGCCAGUGUAGUUUCUGCCUCAGGACAGAGCACAUGUGGAUCUCAGACAGCAUGGACAAAGCAAAGCCUUUCUGGACCUGGGCUGGAAGAAAAGAGAACUUUUAUCAGGAAAGGUGAGCCUGCUGGUCAGGAGAGCUCACCAUUAAGCUCUGACAGGGCUAAGAUAAAGCCAUGUUGUUGUGCUCAAU